rnacentral:misc_RNA from 1 species
UCUCCGUAGGUGAACCUGCGGAGGGAUCAUUACAGAGUUCAUGCCCUACCGGGUAGAUCUCCCACCCUAUGUUAUUAUUACUUCGUUGCUUUGGCGGGCCGUUAGGCUCCGGCCCGACUACCGGCCCCGGCUGGUAAGCGCCCGCCAGAGGACCCAAAACCCUGAAUAUUAGUGUCGUCUGAGUACUAUAUAAUAGUUAAAACUUUCAGCAACGGAUCUCUUGGUUCUG